AUGGCUGCGCUGCGGAGGCUCCUGUGGCCGCCGCCUCGGCUCCCGCCUCCAGCGUCCCCUCACCAUCCCUUCCCUGUGCCGUGGGGGCGGCCUGUGGGGACAGCCCCGGGCCCUCCUUCCCGGCCUUUCUCCGGCCGGGAGGAGGAGGACGGGGCUGUGGUGGAGGCGGCGUGGAGGCGGCGGCGGCGCUGGGGGGAGCUGAGCAUCGCGGCGGCGGCCGGCGGGGGUCUGGUGGGCCUCGUGUGCUACCAGCUGUAUGGGGACCCCAGGCCCGACUCCGCGCGGGAGCUGAGCCCCGAGCGCCCCUCCGAGAGCGCGGACGCAGAGCCGGAGGACCCCCCGCGCGGCCGGGGGCUGCUGCCCCUGCCGGUGGCUGCUGCCAAGGAGACGGUUGCUAUUGGCAGAACAGAACUUGAAGACUUAGACCCCUAUGCUACAUCUCGGGAAAGGAGAUUUCGUUUGUUUGCUUCUGUAGAAUGUGAAGGGCAGUUAUUCAUGACUCCAUAUGAUUUUAUUUUGGCUGUUACAACAGAUGAGCCCAAACUUGUUAAAACAUGGAAGUCACUUUCCAAACCGGAAUUAAAUCAAAUGCUCUCCGAAACACCACCAGUUUGGAAAGGAUCAUCAAAACUGUUUCGAAAUCUUAAACAAAGAGGUGUGAUUUCUUACACAGAAUAUCUUUUUCUUUUGUGUAUUUUAACAAAGCCUCACGCGGGGUUUCGAAUAGCUUUCAACAUGUUUGACACUGACGGCAAUGAGAUGGUGGAUAGGAAGGAGUUCUUGGUGCUUCAAGAGAUAUUCAGGAAAAAAAAUGAAAAGAGAGAAACUAAAGGAGAUGAAGAAAAGCGUGCAAUGCUGCGUCUUCAACUUUAUGGAUACCAUUCACCUACUAAUAGUGUACUUAAAACAGAUGCUGAGGAACUUGUCUCCAGAAGCUAUUGGGAUACACUGAGACGUAAUACAAGCCAAGCACUCUUUUCAGACCUCGCAGAGCGUGCUGAUGACAUUACAAGUUUAGUAACAGAUACUACACUUCUUAUACACUUCUUCGGAAAGAAAGGAAAGGCUGAGCUCAACUUUGAAGAUUUUUAUAGAUUCAUGGAUAACCUCCAAACAGAAGUUCUAGAAAUAGAAUUCCUUUCCUACUCUAAUGGGAUGAAUACCAUCAGUGAAGAAGAUUUUGCUCAUAUUCUUUUACGAUAUACAAAUGUGGAAAAUAUAUCAGUAUUUUUGGAAAAUGUGCGUUACAAUAUUUCUGAAGAAAAGGGCAUCACAUUUGAUGAAUUCAGGUCAUUUUUCCAGUUUUUGAACAACCUAGAAGAUUUUGCAAUAGCCUUGAAUAUGUAUAACUUUGCAAGUCGUUCUAUAGGGCAAGAUGAAUUUAAGCGUGCGGUCUAUGUGGCUACGGGCCUCAAACUUUCACCACAUUUAGUGAACACAAUCUUCAAGAUUUUUGAUGUUGACAAAGACGAUCAAUUAAGUUAUAAAGAAUUUAUUGGAAUUAUGAAAGACAGACUCCAUAGAGGAUUCCGGGGUUAUAAAACAGUUCAGAAGUAUACCACUUUCAAAUCCUGUCUGAAGAAGGAACUUCAUAGCAGAUAAAACAUUCGGGUGACAUUUACCAUACGGACAAAGAACUGGACUCGAUUAUCAGUCUAAUUCAGUGUGGCAUAUUUUCCAGGAUGAAGCAAGCAAGCUGGAAGAGAUUAAUGACUUUGAUGAAUUG